CCUACGGGUGGCUGCAGUGAGGAAUAUUGGUCAAUGGACGAGAGUCUGAACCAGCCAAGUCGCGUGAAGGAUGACUGCCCUAUGGGUUGUAAACUUCUUUUAUAUGGGAAUAAAACGUUCCACGUGUGGGAUUUUGUAUGUACCAUAUGAAUAAGGAUCGGCUAACUCCGUUCCAGCAGCCGCGGUAAUACGGAGGAUCCGAGUGUUAUCCGGAUUUAUUGGGUUUAAAGGGAGCGUAGGUGGAUUGUUAAGUCAGUUGUGAAAGUUUGCGGCUCAACCGUAAAAUUGCAGUUGAAACUGGCAGUCUUGAGUGCAGUAGAGGUAGGCGGAAUUCGUGGUGUAGCGGUGAAAUGCUUAGAUAGCACGAAGAACUCCGAUUGCGAAGGCAGUUCACUGGACUGCAACUGACACUGAGGCACGAAAGUGUGGGUAUCAAACAGGAUUAGAUACCCCAGUAGUC
rnacentral:rRNA from 1 species